rnacentral:lncRNA from 1 species
CUAACGAAGAGAUGGGUCGGGGGCUGAGACAGAGACACCCCUUGAGGUAGGCAGGCAGAAGGCACCAUCGUGCCAGGACGGGUGUAUGAGGAACAGGUUGCCCAGGGAGGCUGUGGAUGCCCCAUCCCUGCAGGCAUUCAAGGCCAGGCUGGAUGUGGCUCUGGGCAGCCUGGGCUGCUGGUUGGUGACCCUGCACAUGGCAGGGGGUUGGAACUCAAUGAGCACUGUGGGCCUUUUCAACCCAGGCCAUUCCAGGAUUCUAUGCUCAGCCACACUGUAAGGACAGGUGUACCCCACACCCAUGCGGGGCCACGGCUGUGCCGCUCUGCUCUCAUUACAAAGGGCUCUGCCACGCCACGGGAGGGAUUUGGGGCCGGUGCAGCAACAAAGGCGCUGAGAUGUGGCCAGAAUAUCUUAGUCCAGAAGCUUGGAGCUCCUCACAGCCUUGCAGCUCCUCACAGCCUGGAGAAGAAAGACAAAGAGCUGGACUGAACUGGAGUCAGCACACAACUCUGAUGACUCUUCAUACCUACAUAUUCUACAAAGUCACUCUAAAGAGAUGUGGCUGAACUCAACAAAGUCCUCAUAAUGGGACGAAGUGACACUGCAGCAG